rfam:Salmo salar isolate Sally breed double haploid chromosome ssa10, whole genome shotgun sequence.
UGCAUUCACUACUGUGAGCCGCUCUGGAUAAGAGCGUCUGCUAAAUGACUAAAA